rnacentral:rRNA from 1 species
GUCGAGCGGUAACAUUUCUAGCUUGCUAGAAGAUGACGAGCGGCGGACGGGUGAGUAACACUUAGGAAUCUACCUAGUAGUGGGGGAUAGCUCGGGGAAACUCGAAUUAAUACCGCAUACGACCUACGGGAGAAAGGGGGCAACUUGUUGCUCUCGCUAUUAGAUGAGCCUAAGUCGGAUUAGCUAGUUGGUGGGGUAAAGGCCUACCAAGGCGACGAUCUGUAGCUGGUCUGAGAGGAUGAUCAGCCACACCGGGACUGAGACACGGCCCGGACUCCUACGGGAGGCAGCAGUGGGGAAUAUUGGACAAUGGGGGCAACCCUGAUCCAGCCAUGCCGCGUGUGUGAAGAAGGCCUUUUGGUUGUAAAGCACUUUAAGCAGUGAAGAAGACCUAACGGUUAAUACCCGUUAGCGAUGACAUUAGCUGCAGAAUAAGCACCGGCUAACUCUGUGCCAGCAGCCGCGGUAAUACAGAGGGUGCAAGCGUUAAUCGGAAUUACUGGGCGUAAAGCGAGCGUAGGUGGCUUGAUAAGUCAGAUGUGAAAUCCCCGGGCUUAACCUGGGAACUGCAUCUGAUACUGUUAGGCUAGAAUAGGUGAGAGGAA